rnacentral:tRNA from 9 species
CUCAGUUGGUAGAGCGCAACCUUGCCAAGGUUGAGGUCACGAGUUCGAACCUCGUGUGUCGCUCCA